GCUGCUGGGGCCGGUGGUGGCUGCAGCUCCUCUGGCCGUGCUGCAGCCCCCACCUUCCUUGGCAGCCCCUCCUCUGGCCGUGCUGCAGCCCCCGGAUUUUUUGGCAGCCCCUCUGGCCGUGCUGCAGCCCCCGGCUUCCUUCUCAGCCGCCAGCAGCCCCCAGCAGCCCCGCCUACCAGCAGGGAGAUCACGGGCUGGCAGCCCAGAGCGGGCAGUGUGAGGGACGGGAGGAGAGCAGCCCCGGGAGGGAUCAGGGGCCAGUAGAAGCAGAUGAUGAAGAAGAGGAUAUAGAGAUAGUUGUUGUAUAGAUAGUAAGAGGGUAUGAUGAUAGUUGAUAGCGACGUAGAUUAGUUGAUAGCGACGUAGAUUAGUUGAUAGCGACGUUGAUAGCUGAUGGUUGUAUACAGGUAGCGAACAGAUAGCAGAUAGCUAGGUGGGUUAUUGGUAGAGAGGUAGUUUGUGGAUAGCAAGGUAGUUAGCAGCAAGCAAGAGUUAGUAGCAAUGUAGUUAGAUCAUAGCCAGAUAGCUGAUAGGGGGAUGCAGGAUAGAAAGAUGGGUGACUGGGAGAUAGUUAAUUUAUAGACUGCAAUAGUGAAAGUUGCUGAAAAGAACUUUGUCUCUGUUUCAGAUGAGCCACUGCGCCCUGGGACACCACUCUCCCCUCAGUACGAUGAAGACCAACGCCUGAUGCUGCUCCAUCACCAGCAGAAGAACAGCAGCUCUGCAGAGACCCGUCCUGCCAGCAGAGCAUCACGGAGAAGAAGACGCGCCUUCUGCUCACAGGAAGCCACUUGGGUCCUGGGACACCACUCUCCCCUCAGUACGAUGAAGACCAACGCCUGAUGCUGCUCCAUCACCAGCAGAAGAACAGCAGCUCUGCAGAGACCCGUCCUGCCAGCAGAGCAUCACGGAGAAGAAGACGCGCCUUCUGCUCACAGGAAGAUGCGAGGGACGGCCGUGUGUGUGCGCAUGGCCCAGCUCCCAGCACGUCCUCCUGGCUGGGAGGGGCGUUCCCAUGAGAUGAGCCUGGGGCAGCGGAGGAGGUGAGGAUGGCCAGAGACGUUCUGCAUCUUCUUUCCUUGCAAAGGGCACUUCUCGGCUGGAAGCACCGGUGGGUUACUCUUCUCCCAUAACCUCAGCAUCGAUGAUGCCCUCCGGACCCAGGAUGAGGAAGGAAGAACUGGAUGGGAGAGGAGAGCACGGCUGACACCGUCAGUGUGAAGUGCCUCGUGUGGGAGAAGAGACUGGGCCAGCAGCAGACAGAUAGGGAGCACAGGGACGUAGUUAACACCAGAAUGUCUGUUAGACAGUCGUGUUAUUGUCGAAAAGCUCUGUAAAUAAAUAGUUUGAUAUCUCUCAUAUCCUUCCUAUCUUGUGUUGUUUAAAACCAUGUGGACUCGUAGGCUGAUACUUCUGAAAAUAGGUGUCAGAACCAUAAACCUUUCCCACUUGUCUCGCCUGAUUUGUUUUAUUUUAAGGUGAAAUCCCUGCCUGAUUUUAAAGUUUGUCUCGCAAAAGGGAGUAGAAACUGAAGUUUGAGCAGUUGCUUAACGACUUUUGUAACUGAGGAGCUCCAGAUUCUCGGUCACAAAGAGCAGAAGGCAGAAUAACGUCUGCAUGCCACAUGCACCCAUUUGCUAAUGCCAGCCUCGGACGGAAAGGGAGGAGCAUGCCAUCCUAACUGCUGCACACUGCUGCCCUAAGGAGAAAGGGUGAAAAAGCUGCCCCCAGUCAUUAUGGACACGCUUCAGAAGUGCAUACCAAACCCGUGUGUCAGUUCUGCAUUUCAGAAGAGCCUCCAGGGAAGGCACGGGGAUUGCCCAGGGGCAGGCCCUGACCGGAGCAGCUGCGCAUAAGCCAGCCAAGGGGAUGGGGGGAGCGGCACCUGGCUAAGUGGGGGAUGCCAAAGCAUCGCCUUGGAAGCCUUAGGAACCAACAGCAACGAGGGCCUGCAGCCAUCUGAGCCCAGGCUAGGACCUGCCUUCUCACGGCGCAGCAGGGCAGGCUGCGGGCACUGCUGGGCACAGAUCCCAAGCAGAAUGCAACCGCUUCAGGAAGCGGUGUCGGACAUUCUCACGGGCUGCACCGGGCAGAGCAGAGCAGAGCAGAGCAGAGCAGAGCAGGACGGUCCUUUCCUGGGGAGUGCUGGGCCCGAUGUGCCCCAGGGUACGGUUGGCCCUUUGGGCUGUCGGGGCACGCUGCCGGCUCAGAUGCAACUUGCCGUUCACCAGAACCCCCAGAGCCCUUUUGUGGGGCUGCUCUGCAGCCUCCCCUCCCGCAGGGUGUGCACAGAGCCACGGCUGUCCCAUCCCAGUGGCAGAAUCCACCACUUGCUCUCCUUAACUUCAGAUCAACUGUGCAGUUGCCCAGCCCUCCAAUUUG
rnacentral:lncRNA from 1 species